GUCCUACGGGACGCAGCAGUGAGGAAUAUUGGUCAAUGGUCGGGAGACUGAACCAGCCAAGCCGCGUGAGGGAUGAAGGUACAGAGUAUCGUAAACCUCUUUUGUCAGGGAACAAAGGCGGGGACGUGUCCCCGGAUGAGUGUACCUGAAGAAAAAGCAUCGGCUAACUCCGUGCCAGCAGCCGCGGUAAUACGUAGGUGGCAAGCGUUAUCCGGAUUUACUGGGUGUAAGGGCGUGUAGGCGGGGACGCAAGUCAGAUGUGAAAACCACGGGCUCAA
rnacentral:rRNA from 1 species